GACGAACGCUGGCGGCGUGCUUAACACAUGCAAGUCGAACGGAAAGGCCCUGCUUUUGUGGGGUGCUCGAGUGGCGAACGGGUGAGUAACACGUGAGUAACCUGCCCUUGACUUUGGGAUAACUUCAGGAAACUGGGGCUAAUACCGGAUAGGAGCUCCUGCUGCAUGGUGGGGGUUGGAAAGUUUCGGCGGUUGGGGAUGGACUCGCGGCUUAUCAGCUUGUUGGUGGGGUAGUGGCUUACCAAGGCUUUGACGGGUAGCCGGCCUGAGAGGGUGACAGGCCACAUUGGGACUGAGAUACGGCCCAGACUCCUACGGGAGGCAGCAGUGGGGAAUAUUGCACAAUGGGCGGAAGCCUGAUGCAGCAACGCCGCGUGCGGGAUGACGGCCUGCGGGUUGUAAACCGCUUUCGCCUGUGACGAAGCGUGAGUGACGGUAAUGGGUAAAGAAGCACCGGCUAACUACGUG
rnacentral:rRNA from 1 species